GUAGGUGGCAAGCGUUGUCCGGAAUUAUUGGGCGUAAAGCGCGCGCAGGUGGGUUCUUUAAGUCUGAUGUGAAAGCCCCCGGGCUCAACCGGGGGAGGGUCAUUGGAAACUGGGGAACUUGAGUGCAGGAGAGGAAAGUGGAAUUCCACGUGUAGCGGUGAAAUGCGUAGAUAUGUGGAGGAACACCAGUGGCGAAGGCGACUUUCUGGCCUGUAACUGACACUGAGGCGCGAAAGCGUGGGGAGCAAACAGGAUUAGAUACCCUGGUAGUCCACGCCGUAAACGAUGAGUGCUAAGUGUUGGGGGGUUUCCGCCCCUCAGUGCUGCAGCUAACGCAUUAAGCACUCCGCCUGGGGAGUACGGUCGCAAGACUG
rnacentral:rRNA from 1 species